UACGUAGGUGACAAGCGUUGUCCGGAUUUACUGGGCGUAAAGAGCGCGCAGGCGGUCGGUCAAGUCGAGUGUGAAAGCCCCCGGCUCAACUGGGGAGGGUCAUUCGAUACUGAUCGACUCGAAGGCAGGAGAGGGUAGUGGAAUUCCCGGUGUAGUGGUGAAAUGCGUAGAUAUCGGGAGGAACACCAGUGGCGAAGGCGGCUCACUGGACCGGCAUUGACGCUGAGGUGCGAAAGCGUGGGGAGCAAACAGG
rnacentral:rRNA from 1 species